UACGAGGGGGGCAAGCGUUGUUCGGAAUUAUUGGGCGUAAAGGGUGCAUAGGCGGUGCGGUAAGUCUGUUGUGAAAUCUCCGGGCUCAACUCGGAGUCUGCAUCAGAAACUGCCGUGCUGGAGUGUGGGAGAGGUGAGUGGAAUUCCCGGUGUAGCGGUGAAAUGCGUAGAGAUCGGGAGGAACACCUGCGGCGAAAGCGGCUCACUGGACCAUAACUGACGCUGAUGCACGAAAGCUAGGGGAGCAAACAGG
rnacentral:rRNA from 1 species